CAAAACCUGCCCUUGAAGAAACUGUUUGCACAAACACCUGCAGACCGAAAUCGCCAUCCGUCCUCUUGCUCUUCACCUAGGUCCUCCUUCACCUCUGCCUCCAGGAUCAGCGCUGAGUAGCCAGGAUGCCACACAUCUUUCCAGAGCCCGACACAUCACCGGCCACAAAGCAAAAGGAGAUUUUGGCGAUUUGACUCGGAUGGUUUCCUCGCCUCCACAGAGCCCACGAGGGUUUAGUUUUGGCCCCAGAUCCAAGUGGCCCCAAACCAAAGCCCCGGAUCACCCCACCUCCCUACCACAGGCCUGUAGUCUCCGCAGCGUUGAUUUGUCUCCGAAUUUGGGGCUGGGCCCUCCUCUGGCAUCCCAGCCCUGGAAACCAAGCGAGGAGCGAAGCAACCCUACCCACGUAAUGGGAGGAGUGACGGGAAAAGCAGCUGGCCAGGCGCGGGGUCUUCGCAGUGGGACCUCGCCUGAUAGCACGGCACCAAGAGGGGUUUUCACCUGACGCUGGAAACAAUGCCAUCCAUAGAAGCCCACAUUGUUACCUUGACAUUUGGAAGCAAUUACCUGCAUGUUAUGUAAAACUUUUAUUAAACGACUGGAGAAAUUCGGUAAUGUGUUAAUCAUUGGUUGAAUGACAUCUGCUUAAUACCAGAGAUUUUUGAACUGCAGGAGAAGGGUUCAGCAGUUCAGAAUGAUUACCAAAACAUAUUGCUCCUUUUUUCGUUCUCCUACGUGUUAAUUUUUCAGAUUUAUUAUCUUAGGCUCCUGCGUCUAGUAUUUUCACUACAUGUCAACAUCUGUUAUAUCUCUGCAUUUCACAGCUCUUUAGUCUUUGCCCCAUGAAGCCUUAGGCACUCGGAUGAGAGACGCAGCCCGCUCUAACCCAGGGCUUAUGCAAUUUUCCAAACUAAUCCAAAGGACAAUUACCAGGGAAAUUUGGCUCAGGGAAGCACUUCUGGCAUCAAAAAGGGAUCGGUAGAUGGACUCAAACCCAAAGCAACCGGUCAGGUUUAGAGACAAACUUGGCUGUCAGGACGAGACUUGGGAAGUCUGGGGAGCUGUGAGGCCGCCGCUCCUUGAGAAC
rnacentral:lncRNA from 1 species